CAUCUCAGAGAAAUUCCAAACAUGGAAUGGCAGACAAUCAACAUGGCAUCAGUUCAGUCCGCCCGUCUGCAUUUCUUCAUCAUUGAUA
rnacentral:snoRNA from 1 species